CUACAACCAAGUCAGGAGACCUGAUUCUCAUGAGAGGCGUCGCAAGAGCACUGCAAGCUUUCAUAUGCUGCCCCAUCAGUGUACCUCAACUCUGACCUGGACAGACCACUAGUGAUGGGACAGUCCUUGUAUUGUGGGACUGCCAGACCUCCUGAGUCACAUGACUCACUGUCUGAUUUCCGAGUCAAGCUUUUCAUUUCCUAAAUGAUAAGGGAUAAAAGAUAAAAUCUGGC